GGAAGAGGAGCCUGGACAUCUGUAUGAGACAGAGAGAGGUAGAGGAACCUGGACAUCUGUAUGAGACAGAGAGAGGAAGAGGAACCUGGACAUCUGUAUAUGGACAGAGAGAUGUAGUGGAGCCUGGACAUCUGUAUCAGACAGAGAGAGGAAGAGGAACCUGGACAUCUGUAUAUGGACAGAGAGAGGUAUAGGAACCUGGACAACCUGGACAUCUGGUAUAGGAACCAGGACAGAGAGAGCUUUGGAACGGAGGGUUGGGUCCAUAAAUGUUCAAUGGUCUGCGUCCUGUUAGUAACAGCUCCCAGUCCAGGUCAUAACCUGAGUUACAGCUCCCAGACCAGGUCAUAACCUGAGUUACAGCUCCCAGGCCAGGUCAUAAACUGAGUUACAGCACCCAGACCAGGUCAUAAACUGAGUUACAGCUCCCAGGCCAGGUCAUAACCUGAGUAACAGCGUCCAGACCAGGUCAUAAACUGAGUUACAGCUCCCAGACCAGGUCAUAAACUGAGUUACAGCUCCCAGGCCAGGUCAUAACCUGAGUUACAGCUCCCAGACCAGGUCAUAACCUGAGAUACAGUGCCCAGACCAGGUCAUAAACUGUGAGGUUCAUGUGUCUGAAAUGGUACCUACUCUUUAUAUACAUUAGUUUUCAGACCCUUUGUUUUGAGACUUGAAAUUGAGCUCAGGUGCAUCCUGUUUCCAUAGAUCAUUCUUGAUAUCUUUGAUAUCUUUCUACAACUUCGUUGGAGUCUACCAAGAGCUGGCCGCCCGGCCAAACUGAGCAAUCGUGGGAGAAGGGCCUUGGUCAGGGAGGUGACCAAGAACCCGAUGGUUUACUCUGACAGAGCUCCAGAGUAUCUCUGUGGAGAUUGGAGAACGUUCUAAAAUGACAACCAUCUCUGCAGCACUCCACCAAUCAGGCCUUUGUGGUAGAGUGGCCAGACGGAAGCCCCUCCUCAGUAAAAGGCACAUGACAGCCCGCUUAGAGUUUGCCGAAAGGCACCUAAAGACUCUCAGACCAUGAGAAACAAGAUUCUCUGGUCUGAUGAAACCAAGAUUUAACUCUUUGGCCUGAAUGCCAAGCGUCACGUCUGGAGGAAACAGCAUCAUCCUGUCGGGAUGUUUUUCAGCGGCAAGGCCCGGGAGACAGGUCUGGAUCGAGGGAAAGAUGAAUGGAGCCCACAAGAUGAAUGGAGUCCACAUAGACCCUUGAUGAAAACCUGCUCCGGAGCGCUCAGGACCUCAGACUGGGGUGAAGGUUCACUUUCCAACUGGACAACGACCCUAAACACACAGCCAAGACAACGCAGGAGUGGCUUCGGGACAAGUCUCAUUUUAAUAUGGCUGAAACGUAACAAAAUGUGGAAAAAGUCAAGGGUUCUGAACACUUUCUGAAUGCACUGUAGUGCACUACUUUUGACCAGAGCCCUAAUACAAAAUAGUGCACUAUAUAGCAAAGAGGGUGCCAUUUGGGAUGAACACAGUUUUCAGUCUUGUAAUGAUGUAAUAGAAUGUUCUGAAUGUUCCGUUUCAGUUGACAGAAAGGUUUUAGACUAAUCAGAAAGACAGAGGAUGAUGUUUUGGGGUUUGAAGAAGCUGAUCGGCAGGUGUUGAGGUGAUUGUGACAUUGUAAGAAAAAAUUAUGAAGGCAAGCAGCAUUGUUCACAAAUUAAAAGGUUUGUCUCCAUUGUUCUGUAACAGCUUUAGCCAGUGAAGAUGUCAUAGUCCAGCGGUAUUCAAAGUCGGGGUCGUGACCCCUAGUGGUUCGCUGGGGAACUCCAGUGUGUUGUCAAAAUAAAAUAAACUGAAAGGAAGAGAACAGCUUUUUAUGGGUUUGUAUGGGUUAGUAUGGGUUUGUAUGGGUUUGUAUGGGACAAUGUACAAAUGUUUUAGUGAAAUAUCAUUUGUAAUGGGGUCCCCAGAAAUUCCGGCAAAAAAAAUGGUGUCCCGGUUUGUUUUUAGGUUUGUUUUCUCCUGGCCGAUUCUUCCCGUAUAAAGUCAUAUUCAUGCUUACACAGACC
rnacentral:lncRNA from 1 species